AAGUCAAUACUUUCAGUAUCAUUUCUGUAGUUGAUUGCCGGAGAAGUUUCUCUGGAUGCGUAAAGCCCUGGAACCCACGAGAAGAGGCCACAGCGUUCUCGCCUGAGCGUGAAGCUGGGACUUGGUGUUGCUUUGUUGCCAUUUGCCAUUUGCCAUUGAUGAUCAUUCCUAUUCUUCCUUCAGGAAAGUAAGAGGGAGAAAACACAGACUGGGUGCU